GCCCAGGUGGUGGAAUUGGUAGACACAAGGGACUUAAAAUCCCUUGACCAUUUUGGUCGUGAGGGUUCAAGUCCCUCCCUGGGCA
rnacentral:tRNA from 1 species